CACGUAGGGGGCAAGCGUUGUCCGGAUUUAUUGGGCGUAAAGAGCUCGUAGGUGGCUCGGCAAGUCGGGUGUUAAACCCCCAGGCUCAACCUGGGGACGCCACUCGAUACUGCUGUGGCUAGAGUCCGGUAGGGGAGCGUGGAAUUCCUGGUGUAGCGGUGAAAUGCGCAGAUAUCAGGAGGAACACCGGUGGCGAAGGCGGGUCUCUGGGCCGAUACUGACGCCGAGGAGCGAAAGCGUGGGGAGCGAACAGG
rnacentral:rRNA from 1 species